UUGGAAGCACUUCAAGAAUCAUACCUCAAACAUAGGACAGCAGCUCCAUGUGUAACACUGCAGCUGUGCACAGGCAGUUGUGAAGAUCUGAAACCAAGUGAAGCAACAUGAAAAGGACAUUGAUCUGAGGUGAUGUCCUUCGAAAGGGAAACAGCAUUUCAGGGCAGCAAACAGCACCACAAUCACUGCACAAAAACAGCGGGAAAUACAGAGAGAGGAAGCUCAGCAUUGAAUGUGUGCUUCCUAACAUGUGCCAUGCGUUAAAGAGCACAGAACAAAAACAGAGAGAGCAGAGGGCUGCAAUGAGGAGAACCGGAAGGGAGAGCCGUUCCAGCUCAGUGCCUGCCUGUCGGACUCAAGCAGAGGGGCGCCGCCAUCUUCCACUGGGAAAUCACCAAGAGGGAACCAUGAAUAAUAUCCUUUUCUUCCUCUCUUCACACUGACACACAGCCAGGCUGAUGGAUUACAUUUAGCCAAGUGGGCACAUUUUUAUCCUCAUUCUAAGAAAACGAUAAGAGGUGACUUUAUAUUUUCAUGCCUUGCUGGUUUUCUUAUUGAUUUUAAAGUAGUAGAAUUAAAGCUGCAACAGCAUUCACAAUAAAGCACUACACCAACAUGGUUGGUGAGAAAACCUUAGCCUAACAUGUCAUUGAUUAAUUUCUAUGUUGACCGGGUAUUCAACCCCCAAAGAGAAUGGAUUUCUUGAAGAAGAACUAGACAAUGGAUUUGGCAUUUGUCUCUAACACUCUGGCACCAUUUAGGGUCUAAACACUCGUAGUCUC